rnacentral:misc_RNA from 1 species
UCAAACUUGGUCAUUUAGAGGAAGUAAAAGUCGUAACAAGGUUUCCGUAGGUGAACCUGCGGAAGGAUCAUUAUUGAAUAAACUUGGUUAGAUUGUUGCUGGCUCUUAGGGGCAUGUGCACGUCUAAUUCAUUUUUAACCACCUGUGCACAUUGUGUAGAUCUGAUAUACUCGAGGAAAAUCGGUUUGAGAACUGCUGUGCGCAAGCCAGCUUUUCUUGUAAUCAGGUCUAUAUUCUUAUAUACCCCAUAUGAAUGUAUUCGAGUGUUGUACUGGGCCUUUGUGCCUCUAAAAAUCAAUACAACUUUCAACAACGGAUCUCUUGGCUCUCGCAUCGAUGAAGAACGCAGC